GAUGAACGCUGGCGGCGCGCCUAACACAUGCAAGUCGAACGGCACCCCUCUCCGGAGGGAAGCGAGUGGCGAACGGCUGAGUAACACGUGGAGAACCUGCCCCCUCCCCCGGGAUAGCCGCCCGAAAGGACGGGUAAUACCGGAUACCCCCGGGCGCCGCAUGGCGCCCGGGCUAAAGCCCCGACGGGAGGGGAUGGCUCCGCGGCCCAUCAGGUAGACGGCGGGGUGACGGCCCACCGUGCCGACAACGGGUAGCCGGGUUGAGAGACCGACCGGCCAGAUUGGGACUGAGACACGGCCCAGACUCCUACGGGAGGCAGCAGUGGGGAAUCUUGCGCAAUGGGGGGAACCCUGACGCAGCGACGCCGCGUGCGGGACGGAGGCCUUCGGGUCGUAAACCGCUUUCAGCAGGGAAGAGUCAAGACUGUACCUGCAGAAGAAGCCCCGGC
rnacentral:rRNA from 1 species